rnacentral:rRNA from 1 species
AACGUAGGAGACAAACGUUAUCCGGAGUUACUGGGCGUAAAGGGCGUGUAGGUGGUAGUGUAAGUCUGGCGUGAAAUUUUUCGGCUCAACCGGGAAAGGUCGUCGGAUACUGCACAACUAGAGGACGGUAGAGGCGUGUGGAAUUCCGGGUGUAGUGGUGAAAUGCGUAGAGAUCCGGAGGAACACCAGUGGCGAAGGCGACACGCUGGGCCGUACCUGACACUGAUGCGCGACAGCAUGGGGAG